UACGGGGGGGGCAAGCGUUGUUCGGAAUUACUGGGCGUAAAGGGCUCGUAGGUGGCCAACUAAGUCAGACGUGAAAUCCCUCGGCUUAACCGGGGAACUGCGUCUGAUACUGGAUGGCUUGAGAUUGGGAGAGGGAUGCGGAAUUCCAGGUGUAGCGGUGAAAUGCGUAGAUAUCUGGAGGAACAUCAGUGGCGAAAGCGGCUUCCUGGACCAGCACCGACGUUCAGGCACGAAAGCGUGGGGAGCAAACAGG
rnacentral:rRNA from 1 species